rnacentral:rRNA from 1 species
UACGUAGGGUGCAAGCGUUGUCCGGAAUUAUUGGGCGUAAAGAGCUCGUAGGCGGUCUGUUGCGUCCGCUGUGAAAACUCGGGGCUUAACCCCGAGCCUGCAGUGGAUACGGGCAGACUAGAGGUAGGUAGGGGAGAAUGGAAUUCCCGGUGUAGCGGUGAAAUGCGCAGAUAUCGGGAGGAACACCGGUGGCGAAGGCGGGUCUCUGGACAGUUCCUGACGCUGAGGCACGAAGGCCAGGGGAGCAAACGGG